rnacentral:rRNA from 1 species
AGAGUUUGAUCCUGGCUCAGAACGAACGCUGGCGGCAGGCUUAACACAUGCAAGUCGAACGCUCGACCUUCGGGUCGGGAGUGGCAGACGGGUGAGUAACGCGUGGGAACGUACCCUUUGGUUCGGAAUAACCCAGGGAAACUUGGGCUAAUGCCGGAUACGCCGGAAACGGGAAAGGUUUAUCUGCCGAAGGAUCGGCCCGCGUCGGAUUAGCUAGUUGGUGGGGUAACGGCCCACCAAGGCGACGAUCCGUAGCUGGUCUGAGAGGAUGAUCAGCCACACUGGGACUGAGACACGGCCCAGACUCCUACGGGAGGCAGCAGUGGGGAAUAUUGGUCAAUGGGCGCAAGCCUGAACCAGCCAUGCCGCGUGAGUGAAGAAGGCCUUAGGGUUGUAAAGCUCUUUCAGCGGGGACGAUAAUGACGGUACCCGCAGAAGAAGCCCCGGCUAACUUCGUGCCAGCAGCCGCGGUAAUACGAAGGGGGCUAGCGUUGUUCGGAAUUACUGGGCGUAAAGCGCGCGUAGGCGGAUAUUUAAGUCAGGGGUGAAAUCCCAGGGCUCAACCCUGGAACUGCCUUUGAUACUGGAUAUCUGGAGUUCGGGAGAGGUGAGUGGAAUUCCGAGUGUAGAGGUGAAAUUCGUAGAUAUUCGGAGGAACACCAGAAGCGAAGGCGGCUCACUGGCCCGAAACUGNNGCUGANNNNCGAAAGCGUGGGGAGCAAACAGGAUUAGAUACCCUAGUAGUCC